UCCUACGGGGCGCAGCAGUGGGGGAUAUUGCACAAUGGGGGGAACCCUGAUGCAGCGACGCCGCGUGGGUGAAGAAGCGCCUCGGCGCGUAAAGCCCUGUCAGCAGGGAAGAAAAUGACGGUACCUGAAGAAGAAGCCCCGGCUAACUACGUGCCAGCAGCCGCGGUAAUACGUAGGGGGCAAGCGUUAUCCGGAUUUACUGGGUGUAAAGGGAGCGCAGGCGGCAGCGCAAGUCUGAUGUGAAAGCCCGGGGCCCAACCGCGGGACUGCAUUGGAAACUGCGCAGCUGGAGUGCCGGAGGGGUA
rnacentral:rRNA from 1 species